CUAGUCACCCCCUCCCUCACUCUGUCACUAGAGUGAGGGGGUGACUAGUGACAGAGUGAGGGAAGGGGUGACUAGUGGCAGAGUGAGGAAAGGAAGGGGUGACUAGUGACAGAGUGAGGGAGGUGGUGACUGUCACUAGUCUCCACCUCCCUCACUCUGUCACUAGUCACCACCUCCCUCACUCUGUCACUAGUCCCUCCCUCUUUCUGUCACUAGUCACCCCCUCCGUCCCUUACUCUGUCACUAGUCACCCCCUAACUCACUAUGUCACCAGUCAUCCGCUCACUCUGUCACCAGUCAUCCCUUCCUUCCCUCACUCUGCCACUAGUCACCCCUUCCCUCACUCUGUCACUAGUCAUUCCCUCACUCUAGUGA
rnacentral:sRNA from 1 species